CACCGUCGAAUUGACGUCGACUCGACAUCAUUUCGACGUCGAUCGACGGAUCAUUUCUCACUGGGAUGUCACUUAAAUAGUUUCAAAAUCGCAGAUUUUAUUAUACGCAGACCGUUAUAAAUCUCAAAUAUGUUUAUAACCUAUAUAAUACUUACGUGACAUUUUGCGUAUUUCGCUGCUUCUCUGCGAUUAAAACAAAUGAAGUUGCACACAGAGGUGCAAACUGUGGGGCCGAGCAGCAUCGAAGUGUUACACUCGGUGCUCACGUACACAAGCGCAACCAUGCCGUGUGCUGCAGAGCAGAGUGCUCUGCGCAGCACACGGACAUGGUUGCGCUUGUGCGCGCGAGCACCGAGUGUAAGGGUGCCGUCCCAUGGAGCGGAAUAGCGUAACGCGGAACGAGAGCGGAACCAAUCACGAGCGUUCCGCAGUUUUCAGUAGGUUUUAGCGGAAUAACUUUUCGCAGUUGCGCGCAGUUAACAUAUACAUACAUCUGUAUAUACACACACACACACACGGGACUAGAAAGUCUUCUUAGCAAUAACGUAGUGCAAUAAAAACGUUGUAUGUGUUAAACAAGAUAAGCAGUAAAAUAAGCUACAAGAAAAAUGAGCAGCGUUAAAUCAUCACAAUUAAGCAAAAAAUGUGGAUACUGUGGAUGGAUUGUAACAAAGAAUAUGGACUUGUUACAACAUUCGUGCUUCUCUGAAUAUGACAAAGCCACAAACAUGAUUUAUAAUUUAUAUCGAUGAGAAUAACAUCAUAACUAUAGUAAAUAAAGAUACCGAUACUCUUCCCGAACAGGAUGUCAAUCUUCUUGAAUUACAAGAUACAGAAAUAACAACGGACGAACUUCUAAUAGCAUGUGUUGCUCAGAAGCCUGCUUUAUAUGAUCACCGGUUACCGAUUGCCGAGCGGACAUUAUUAAAAAAAAAUGCUCUCUUUAUUUAUGCUUCUCUUUUAUUGCAUUCUCACGUUGUACCAUUUUUUAAUAUAUUAUAUAUAAUUUUAACACA